AGGCUUAACACAUGCAAGUCGAACGGUCUCUUCGGAGGCAGUGGCAGACGGGUGAGUAAUGCAUGGGAAUCUACCGUUCUCUACGGAAUAACUCAGGGAAACUUGUGCUAAUACCGUAUACGCCCUUUUGGGGAAAGAUUUAUCGGAGAAUGAUGAGCCCAUGUUGGAUUAGCUAGUUGGUGGGGUAAAGGCCUACCAAGGCGACGAUCCAUAGCUGGUCUGAGAGGAUGAUCAGCCACACUGGGACUGAGACACGGCCCAGACUCC
rnacentral:rRNA from 1 species